UACGUAGGUGGCAAGCGUUACUCGGAAUCACUAGGCGUAAAGCGCAGGUAGGAGGUUUAGUAAGUCUGUUGUGAAAGCUCCCGGCUAACUGGGAGAGGUCAACGGAAACUGCUAGGCUAGAGUGCGGUAGAGGUAGCUGGAAUUCCCGGUGUAGCGGUGAAAUGCGUAGAGUAUCGGGAGGAACACCAGUGGCGAAGGCGGCGAUCUGGGUCGAUACUGACGCUGAGGUGCGAAAGCGUGGGGAGCAAACAGG
rnacentral:rRNA from 1 species